rnacentral:rRNA from 1 species
GACGAACGCUGGCGGCGUGCCUAAUACAUGCAAGUUGAGCGCUGAAGGUUGGUACUUGUACCAACUGGAUGAGCAGCGAACGGGUGAGUAACGCGUGGGGAAUCUGCCUUUGAGCGGGGGACAACAUUUGGAAACGAAUGCUAAUACCGCAUAAAAACUUUAAACACAAGUUUUAAGUUUGAAAGAUGCAAUUGCAUCACUCAAAGAUGAUCCCGCGUUGUAUUAGCUAGUUGGUGAGGUAAAGGCUCACCAAGGCGAUGAUACAUAGCCGACCUGAGAGGGUGAUCGGCCACAUUGGGAACGGGACACGGCCCAAACUCCUACGGGAGGCAGCAGUAGGGAAUCUUCGGCAAUGGACGAAAGUCUGACCGAGCAACGCCGCGUGAGUGAAGAAGGUUUUCGGAUCGUAAAACUCUGUUGGUAGAGAAGAACGUUGGUGAGAGUGGAAAGCUCAUCAAGUGACGGUAACUACACAGAAAGGGACGGCUAACUACGUG